rnacentral:lncRNA from 1 species
CACAGCUGAGGUCAAGGCCACUUAUUAUUGCAAAGGUACUUGGAAUUGUACUUUUGAAUCUGGCCCCAUAGCAACCUCAAAUAAAAACAGAAUUCUGUAACUAAGGAGGAAGCACUCAGGCCAAAGAGAGGGCAACCUCAGGCUGCCUGUUGCGGCUGCCAUUCUGAGCACGGGACACCUUCAUGGCCCUUUUCACUGCUGGCUCUCUCCGAUCAGACCAUCCCACAGUAGCCUCAGUUGCUACCAAGUUAGGACCAGUCCUCUAGCCUCCUGUGUGAGCCUGCUGCACCUUCUCUGCACUGAGUCCUACUCCACAGCAAGGGGAGGGGGAGUGGGAAGGAGGGUGGGAACCAAGAAAGCAUCUGCUAAGAUGGGACCUGAUAGGCUCUCAUGGGAGGGGUGAGUCAUGUCAGGACAAUGUGAAAGGUGUGCAGAAGCUAGCAAUGUGGGUGGCUGUGGAAGGCUCUGAGUUGCCCAGAUUCGUAGGGGACACAGCCCAUGGUGGAGAGGCCCAGAGUUAGGAAGAUUCAGUACUUUGUGGCUGGGCGACCUUCAGCAGGCAACUUCUCAGUUACCUCAGAGUUUUCCCACCUGCACUCAGGCUAACCCCACAUCACCUACAACCAUGCUACUUUACCUCUGAGCACUAGCCUACUUUCUCAUGCUUUAUUAGAUCUGAGGGUACUUCCUACCUCCAGCCCAUUUAACAGUGUGCAGUUCUCUCCUGUUGGAGGUGGGGUGGGGUGGGGUCGACAGGACACAUCUAUGGAGAACCUGCUCUGAGGUUUUUUUUUAACUUUUUAAAGCUCCACACAAACUUAUCUUGCCCCCUGCAGGAAUCCGAUAGCCAGUUCUACUGUGGAAGCCGGCUUCAGACCCCAUCUGUCUUGCUGUCCCCAGAGACUGUCUAUCUGUUGCCCACAUACAUUCCAGAGCAAGUGAACACCAAGGGUUUAAAUGUGGGCACAUUUUCUACUGCAAGGAAGGAAAGACGAGUAAAGGAGAUAAACCCUGAGCUGCAGCCCGCCCGACGUCUGCCUUCUUGCAAGGAACCUGUGGAACCGGACUCCCUCUAGU